AUGCGCACAGAUUGGCGGUUAUAGAGGAAUAAAGACAAGCAGCAACUGUUGUAAAAUACAGCUGAUCUACUGUGUCAAGGUUAAACUGUGAGACAAACCUAAUAAAGCUUAGAGGCUUUUAAAACCUGGUAUCGUUAAGUCAUGGGUGACCCAAUCACACACAGUUAGCACUACUUGUAUUUACACUCAGCAAUUAAUGUGUCCCGGGAUAUGUGUCGGAAUGUAACAGACGGUAUAUAAGGAUAUAAAAAAAUCCUUUGUCAUGUUAUAGAGCUCAGUGUUAGCGUACCUCCAUUAACUACACAAACUGAAACUAAUAAAAUUAUGAAGAUUUCAUUAAAUCUGCGUCUGGUUGGAAAGGCAAUAAACACAUGCUCAUAAUAAUACAAUACUAACACGUAGUUUACUGCUCGAAUUACAAUAGGAAAUGUACCAGUCUACCCUCACCACUGAACCCACAAAACUGCAGAAAGCUGGGGGACUUAGUGCAUAUGAUGCAUCCUGCAAAUUUGGACGCUUAUUAUUACUCAACGCCUUUUUACCAAAACUGCAGAGAGAGAAGGCGUCAAAGUGAAAACCCUGCUGCUUGUGUGCAGCUAUGUCAGGUUUGUUGGUGGUCCCUAAAUUUGCGUGUAGCUUUGAUUAAGACAUUACCCUGAAAACCAUUCAUCCAAGCUCAUCGGUUUUUGCUUUGACAACCCAAAACCUGUUUUGUCAUCAUAUUUGCCAGGAUCUGGAGUUUUGUGUGUGUGUGCUUUUUCUUUUGUUUAUUAUGUUCACUUCUCAGAUAGUGCUGGAGUUCUCAGGUGUGCCUAAUCUGCUUAUGGCUUGGAGGUGUACUUAAGCAGGAGGCUGCCAGCACUUCAGCGCCAGAGUGUUUGCCUUCAGUGGUAUAAGCUCAAGCCAUAACUAAUCUUCGCUUUGUGCUUUGCUCUUCGUAACCUUCGUUUUUGCUCCUUUGCAGGUUGUUUUUACCUGAACCUUCGGACUCUUGCUGAUGCCGGACUUUGCUCUCAGCAUUAUUUUGCUGUUUUGGAUUUUCGACUUCUGGAGAAAAGUCUCCUGUUUUUGUGGAUUAAGAUCCAAUAUUCCUGUUUACUUCGCCUGGACAGCAACCGGCUGGCAGCUUCCUGUUUCACCGUCAUCUGAACUUUGGCAUAAGCGUAUCCUGUUCACCCUCGAAUGCAAGUAUCUCCAUUCUGAACUCAUCAUCUCUCACAGAGAAACUUCUGUGCCGACUCCGAAUCCCUCAACCCGCCCGGAGGUUAGAUUACUCCAACAUAUUGGCGAUUUACCAGUUCCUGCACAUUUCCCAUUUACCUUUGUUUGAGAAAAUAAAUCUUAUUCAUAA